AUGUAUAAGGUUACAAAAGCACCAGAGUGUCUUGUGAUCACCAGAGUCGGUAUCAAAGACAUCAAGCUUGCAAACAAAGCAUGGAUUUUCCCCGGACAAAUCUACACCGUCUUCGACCUCUCUCUGGUCAACUCCGGCCAGUUUCAGAGCUUUGGCGUCCUUCACCCACUGUUUGUAUUCCUCUUCAAGUGGAGCAGAGUCGCUUACCUUCCGUCUCCGUUUUGUGGGAGAGGAAGAAACAAUGGUGGAAGUAAUGGUUUUGGGGGUUAG